CGCUCACCUGGGUCUCACACAGUCCCGGCCAGGUGGCGGCUCCUGGAGGCUCACUGCCCCUCCCCCUCCUUCCUGUCCCUCUGCUCUGCUCCCCCUGCCCCUGCCCCAUCCCACGGGUCUCUCUCUCUGGUCACUCCAGGUGCUGGCCCUACCACAUUUCUUACCUGGCAGCCAGAGUCUCCCAGAGAGCGUGUGCCAAGUGCGACUGGCAGCGGCCAAGUGGCUGCCAUCCUGCUGCUUGAGGGCAUCACAAAGGCCACACAGGUUGGAGGUGGCGGGGGCGACAGAGAUGGCAUCUCUCAGCAGGAAGGGGGGGGCGGGUGGGUAUCAAUGAAUUGGAAAAUCCCACAGGACCCCGUGUGUUCCCACACAUCCUCUGCCCAGGGAAGGGGGGCGGAAGCUCCCAGAGGCCCUAACCACCUCCACUCUGGGGCUGCUCUGCUCACCGAGCUCACUCUUCAGUGUCUGGAAGGACUUGGGGCAGAAAGAAGCACCGUGUGUGACGGAGGGGGAUGCUGUCAGCUUGAGGCCAGCGGGGCCCACCCUGUAGUGGAAUCAGAGGACAGCAGAGGGUCUGUGUCGGAUCCCAGAGGCGCCUGCUACGUCUGGAGCUGGAUUUUAGCCCGAGUCUGCCAGCUCAGACCCAGCUCUUUCAACUACCUGAAAAUGAUCACCAUGCUGAAAUUCAAGAGACCAGGAUUCCAGUCUGAUCUUUGUAACUAAUUAGCCUCGAAGAAGGCUGUGCUUGGUGUCUCCUCCUUUCAGAAUGGGGACUAGAUCCCACCUCUGUGACAUGGAUGGAGCACGGGGCUGUGCAUCACGAAGCCUCUGACAAUCCCAUUAAAGACAUCUACCUUGGGAAUUCCCUGGCGAUCCAGUGGUUUGGACUCCACACUUUCACUGCUGAGGGCGUGGGUUCGAUCCAUGGUUGGGGUACUAAGAUCCCACAAGCCGCGCAGCCGGAAAAAAAAAAAAAAGGUACUUACCUGACUAUAGUUAACCCAGGAUUUCCCGAGCUUGUUUGCCCCUGGCCCCUUCCCUGCUUUUUCCUCUGUUAAUAGCUUUAGAGACUUUAUGUCAUCAUAACACCUCUUGGGGAAUAGGAAGCUAAAAGAUUUCUGUGUCCCAUCAAUUGUGACAGUCAAAGAUUCAGCGAUUGUCCCAUCACCCGCUUGGAAAGAUACCACAAAGAUGUCAGAGAAGAUGGUCAGCUGAUUUUUCAGGAUUCCCCAUGGAAGAUAUUGGCUUGAUGUGGUUACUGUGUUUUAAGGAUCUCUGCUAGCAUCACUCUCUGAUGGCAUACAGAAUGCUUGAUCUGCUGACAUGGAAUCCAACAUAACAUCCCCCUGAACCAGAAGACGCAUUUUACAGGAAAGGAGCAACCAUUUGGAUUUGCCCUCUGGAACUCAGGGAAGGUCAAGGAGGCUGAAUGAAGCCUAUUUCCUACAAACAAGAAACAAGGACACAGAAAGGGCUUAUACCUGGGACGGCCCACAGGAUCCUGCUCCAUUUCCUAGACUGUCCCAUCUACCCAGCCCAGCAAAACAGAAAUCUGUAUGCCGUUCGGAUAACAUUGCCUCUCUCUCACCUUCCACAACAGUUGGUUUAUUGCAUACAAUUCCUGCUUCGCUUCUAAAGAGGGGAUUCUCACGUGACCACAAGUUGCCCACCCACUAGAAGCCUGGCAUUCAGCGUGUGGCCCCAUUACAGUGCUUGUCUUUGUCUCAUGGGCUCUGAUAUAUCCUGGGAGCAGUUCGAUGGACCCAGCUUGGGUCAGGUGCCCUCUAGGAGCCAAACACUGAGCUCAGUUGAUGAGAAUCAUCCUCUGAUUAGCUGGGUCCAGAUCAGGGCCUGACCCUGGGGUAGGGGAGCGUGGGAGCCACCCGCCCCCCAGAAGGAACAAGAUGAUUCUGGAGUAGGCGUGGGGUGCUGGGCAGACCAGCAUAAUUCUUCUGUUACCACAGACGACUGCUGUAGUCUGCUGCUACUACUGCUUUUUCUACUGUGCCUACAACAACAAUGACAACAACAAAUAAUAACAAUAAUUUUAUUUAUUAUUGAGUCCAUGCUAAGGAGCCAGCACUGUGCCAAAUGCUUGACCUUCCUAAUCUGCUCCCCAUCACAAGCAGCUCCACAUUCUUCCUACCGGCAUUAGCUCCAUUUCCCAGAAGAAGACGCUGAGGCUUGGAAAAGCUGAGUACGUCACCCAAGUUUACACAGCUAAUAAGUGACGGAGAUGGUGACCCAAGUCCAUCCAAAUCCGAAGCUUGUGUGGGGCUUGCAAGAUGAAUAAACUAGGAGUCUGCCAGGUUAGACUGGAGGGAUUAGGGAAGGGUGUUUUAGACAGAGGGAAGGGCACUGCUAAGCUAUGGAGCAGUGGGAGACCACGUUGCGACUGGGAAGGCAACCCCGUAAGGCCAUAGCCAGGCCAGAGAGCCUCACGGUAGUUCUCUGUCCAGGCUGUGUGUUAAGACACCUGGGGGGAGGGGGACUUCCCUGGUGGCCCAGUGGUUAAGAAUCCGCUUGCCAGUGCA